UUCCUCUAUCCCAGGAUCUAAUAUCACCUAGCAUAUUGUACUUGAACGUGGACAUUUCAUUUUGCUUUCCAAAUAAACCAGAGGAUCUCCUAUGAUCAGAGAUGAGCUGUAAGAGAACAUUUUAUUGAUGACAUCUGGCUCUGCUUCCUGCCACUCCUUGAGCCUACAUGCCUUGGAAUGUCCCUUGUCUCAGAAUUCAUGGCCUCAGGACCUGUGCAGUCACUGGGUAAAAAUGGUAGCAGUUAAGAUACUUGCUGGAAUUGCAAACUUGACACUUCAGGGUGUUUCGGGCCGGCUUCAGAUCAAGCUCACCAGGGUUGGGAACAGUUCUUUCUAUUGGACAAUUCGGUCUCUGCAUUUUAAUGGUGUACACACAAAGUGUAAAUGUUAUUGAGGAAGCUGUGUGUGUAAAAGAAAAUUCUAUUUGCACGUUAUAGCUUUAUCCAGGGCUCUUUUUGUCAUAGAAC